UACGGAGGGUGCAAGCGUUGUCCGGAAUCAUUGGGCGUAAAGAGUUCGUAGGUGGCAUAUUAAGUCUGGUGUUAAAUGCAGAAGCUCAACUUCUGUUCGGCACUGGAUACUGGUAAGCUUGAAUGCGGUAGAGGUAAAGGGAAUUCCUGGUGUAGCGGUGAAAUGCGUAGAUAUCAGGAGGAACAUCGGUGGCGUAAGCGCUUUACUGGGCCGUAAUUGACACUGAGGAACGAAAGCCGGGGUAGCAAAUGGGAUUAG
rnacentral:rRNA from 1 species